UACGUAGGGGGCAAGCGUUAUCCGGAAUUACUGGGUGUAAAGGGAGCGUAGACGGUAAUGUAAGUCUGGAGUGAAAGGCGGGGGCCCAACCCCCGGACUGCUCUGGAAACUAUGUUACUAGGGUGCAGGAGAGGUAAGCGGAAUUCCUAGUGUAGCGGUGAAAUGCGUAGAUAUUAGGAGGAACACCAGUGGCGAAGGCGGCUUACUGGACUGUAACUGACGUUGAGGCUCGAAAGCGUGGGGAGCAAACAGG
rnacentral:rRNA from 1 species